GAAUAAAAUUGAGAAUGGAAAUGGGGAAUGUGCCAAAGAGACAACAACCCGACCAUAGAAAAAAACAACAGCAGAAGGUCACCAACAGGUCUAAAAUGUAGCGAAAAAUUCCCACACCCGGAGGCGUCCUUCAGCUUGCCCCUAAACAAAUAUAUACUAGUUCAGUGAUAAUGAACGCCAUACUUAUUUCCAAAUUGUACACAAGAAACUAAAAUUAAAAUAAUACAAGACUAACAAAGGCCAGAGGCUCCUGACUUGGGACAGGCGCAAAAAUGCGGCGGGGUUAAACAUGUUUGUGAGAUCUCAACCCUCCCCCUAUACCUCUAGCCAAUGUAGAAAAGUAAACGCAUAACAAUACGCACAUUAAAAUUCAGUUCAAGAGAAGUCCG
rnacentral:lncRNA from 1 species